rnacentral:tRNA from 1 species
GUAGCUUAGUUGGUAAGGCGCUCGUCUAGUAUACCAGAGUCGUGGGAUCGAAAUCUCACC